ensembl:snRNA U4 U4 spliceosomal RNA
AGCUUUGUGCAAUGGCAGUAUCGUAGCCAAUGAGGUUUAUCUGAGGCGCGAUUAUUGCUAAUAGAAAUAUACAUUAUGAUAACUGCACAUUUUUUUUGCAUGCUUGAUAAAAAAGGUUUACAAGCUUUAGUAAGAUUUUAAGGUGU